UACGUAGGCGGAAAAUUAAGUCAGUAGUGAAAUCCUGCAGCUUAACUGUAGAACUGUUAUUGAUACUGGUUUUCUUGAAUAUAGUUGAGGUAGGCGGAACGUGUAAUGUAGCGGUGAAAUGCUUAGAUAUUACACAGAACACCGAUUGCGAAGGCAGCUUACUAAGCUAUGAUUGACGCUGAGGUACGAAAGCGUGGGGAGCGAACAGGAUUAGAUACCCUGGUAGUCC
rnacentral:rRNA from 1 species